rnacentral:lncRNA from 1 species
AUUACCACAUAAUUGAAGCUUUCAAAGUGUGUUAAGCAAAUAAGAUUUCCCUCCUUCUUACAGAUGUGGAAACUAAUGCACAUCUUUGUAGUCAGAAAUUACAUUGUUAGUCCAGAAUUAAAAAAAAAAAAAAAAAAAGAAAGAAAAAAAAAAAAGAAAUGAAGUUUUAACUAAACACUCUCAGCCUUAAAGUGACAUAGAUAGCUGCAGGGAGAAGGGAGAGGACACUGUUACCUAUGGCUUGAUUCUUCAAGAAACAUCUGAUUCUAUUCUCUGCAGAUUUCAUGGGUCACCAGAAAACUGUGGCAUGAUUUCAACUGAUUGCGGAUGAUCUGUUUGAAUUUUCCAGGUUUUCUGUCCUUCCUGGAAGCUGAGAUGCACAGAACACAUGGGAGUAACAUUUGCAUGGAGGAUGGCACUGACUGCUUUGUGACACAUGCAGAAGAGAAGCACUUUCUGAGUGGCACUAUCUACAGUUGGUCCAGGAUGGAUACUUACCCAGGGGAUAAAUGAUGCAUCUUCAAGGCAGAGGAGAGGUCCCCAGCUGGCUUCCAGGCCUGGGUAGAUAUGACACGCUGCUGUCAAGUGCCCUCACAAAGCACUGCCCUCUUUUUCUUCCCAGAUCUCUGCCAUCCUUUAUCCUGUCCCAGAUGUCCUUUCACAGCUGCCCAAUCCCACCUGAUUCAUGUUUUUAAUACUCUCAAUUAAAAAAUUAGUAAUUAAAAUGAAGCCCCCUUUGCCCAUAUUACUCUCAGCCUUUACACUGCUCCAUCUGCCUGUUCCCAGUCUCCUUGUUUUUAAAAAGACUCAUUAGCAUGUGAUCUUGUCCCUGCCAGGAUUCCCCAGUGCCAUCUGCUCCCUUCCUACAUGAUCAGUCCCACCCAGAUCAGUGUUUACCAUACUCAAAAAUCAAACAUGUUUUCCGAGCACUGGUUUUGAAGAAUGCUUUUGUGAUUCUCUACCAAAGACAACUCCAAUCAGCCUCUGCCCACAUUGCCAAUGCCAUAGAAGGCCAUAGAAAUGCCAUAGAAAUGAUGUAUUCCCGGAUAUGUGGGGUCUUUGUGGCAACAACGUAUCAGUAUGCUUUGGGCUAUUCAACCAUAUGUUGUGUUAUUUGCUUAAGGCAUUUUGAUCUGAUUGAGUGAGGACCAAAGAGUAAACACCUUCCUAAACUCAACAUCCUCCUUGUGGAAGGACUUUGUGUAUACCAUUAAAUUUUAACUCCAACAUAAAAACAUGUUCAUAUUAUAGUGCUUGGAAGAGUUUUCAAAAUAGACCUUCUUUUUCCAUUUUCCCUAGAUAUUUUCGAGGCAUGUUCUGCUUAUAAAGAGGAGAAGCAAGUGGAGUAAUGUCCUCUGCUUACUAGAGAACUGCUGAAGAGUGUCCCAGACUUUUUCCUUACAUUUGAGCUAGGAGCUCCAGUGGGUGACUUGCAAUAAUCCUGCUGCUCUUUGCUUCAGGCCUCCUCCCUGUGAGUGAAGUGGGACUUACUGUACAUUUUUGUGCCCAUCCUCCUACCCGGAAGUGAUCUGGGCCCUCUCUUAUGUAACUUAAGACUUCAGAGAAUGCCUGCACCUGAUAUUGGGAUUUUUAGAACUCAGCAGUGGUCAAAUGUCUGCCUCUGGCAGCUGCUGUGGGCUGCCUGCUUCAUAAAUGCUCCAUACACCCUACCUGAGAUAACAUUAGAUCAGAACAGGAAAAAGUCAGAAGUAGUUUAAACCCAUUUUUCCAGGUUUAUGCAGCCAUGCACUUAACAUAGGACAGUGACUUUCAAUACUGAGCAUCACAAUGUUCAUCCCUUUAAAGAUCCAGCUCUAUGAUAACAGAAGUCUCUCCUCCAAAUCAUGUAAAAUGUGCCGAUGAAUCUGAGGUCAAUGAAUACAAUCUAUUAAGACUUAAAAACAAAGCACAAUAAAACAAACAAAAAAACAAAAACA